rnacentral:rRNA from 1 species
GGGCCCGCACAAGCGGUGGAGUAUGUGGUUUAAUUCGAUGCAACGCGAAGAACCUUACCAGGGUUUGACAUCCUGCGAAUCUCUUGGAAACGAGAGAGUGCCUUCGGGAGCGCAGUGACAGGUGGUGCAUGGCUGUCGUCAGCUCGUGUCGUGAGAUGUUGGGUUAAGUCCCGCAACGAGCGCAACCCACGUCUUUAGUUGCCAGCAUUUAGUUGGGCACUCUAGAGAGACCGCCGGUGAUAAACCGGAGGAAGGUGUGGAUGACGUCAAGUCAUCAUGCCCCUUACAUCCUGGGCUACACACGUACUACAAUGGCGGUGACAGUGGGCAGCCACUCAGCAAUGAGGAGCUAAUCCCUAAAAACCGUCUCAGUUCGGAUUGGUCUCUGCAACUCGGGACCAUGAAGUUGGAAUCGCUAGUAAUCGUGGAUC